GUAUUGAAAAGAGGUCGCAUUCGAUAUGAGUAACCGAGCUGAGCUAGUAAGGUAGCAAAGAAGCUGGGCUAAAGGAGAGAAUGCCGAAGCAAGUGAGUUCCUUAAGCUUACUUGCUGGGCCCUAACUGAAUAAGUUAGGGACUGUCGCAGCCUAUGACUGCGGAGCGCUAUUCAGACA
rfam:Lactobacillus agilis DSM 20509 NODE_70, whole genome shotgun sequence.